rnacentral:rRNA from 1 species
GACGAACGCUGGCGGCGUGCUUAACACAUGCAAGUCGAACGGAAAGGCCCUGCUUUUGUGGGGUGCUCGAGUGGCGAACGGGUGAGUAACACGUGAGUAACCUGCCCUUGACUUUGGGAUAACUUCAGGAAACUGGGGCUAAUACCGGAUAGGAGCUCCUGAUGCAUGGUGGGGGUUGGAAAGUUUCGGCGGUUGGGGAUGGACUCGCGGCUUAUUAGCUUGUUGGUGGGGUAGUGGCUUACCAAGGCUUUGACGGGUAGCCGGCCUGAGAGGGUGACCGGCCACAUUGGGCCUGAGAUACGGCCCAGACUCCUACGGGAGGCAGCAGUGGGGAAUAUUGCACAGUGGGCGGAAGCCUGAUGCAGCAACGCCGCGUGCGGGAUGACGGCCUUCGGGUUGUAAACCGCUUUCGCCUGUGACGAAGCGUGAGUGACGGUAAUGGGUAAAGAAGCACCGGCUAACUACGUG